rnacentral:lncRNA from 1 species
AGACAACUCUCGAUCCAUCAAAAUAACAAUUUUUAAAAGUAAACCAUUAUAGGUCAAUGGCUCACACCGAACAAAAGCUAUAAAGGACCCCAAUAUGUUUGUAUGAAGAAACUUGAAUGAAAUCCGAUUAAUGCAGGUUUUACUGUAGGACUUUGUGGAUUGUCAUUCAAUACUGUGCACACUGUAAACUUUCUUCUCUGAUACUG